GGACACUAUUUUGGUCUCUGGAUACGCAUCUCUAUCUUAGUGAGGGGAAACUAGCACAGUAUAUAAAACCCCAUCACCCCAAGUUGUUGUGAUCAUGUGUCAGUGUGUUUAGUGUGUAAUGCACACACAGUUAAAGCUACUGCGCAGGGAAAGGGAUUACCACAAGCUCAAGCUCCAACUCAGAUCACAGGAAUACUCAAGCAGGGGUCGUGGGUCAGACUGGGUUUGAGUGCAAAGUCUUGUCUGACCCUGAAUGCUGAUGUUUGCAAAAGACUGCCCUAACUUACAUCAAAGAGAGGAGCCUUCAAAGCCUCAUAUUCCUUUUAAUUCCACUCUGCGUCUUCUCUCUGUUUUCCCUUCAUGCCGCCACCUCUUUCCUGGGAGCGAAGGAAACAAGUGCACAAGAUUCCAGAGGCUAAUUCUGCUUCUUAGGAGGAGGGAACCUAAUAUGUGAGGACAAC